AAUUAUGGAAGGUUGGAAAUAAAAUGAGAAACAUAUAAUAAAAUUUUCAGAAUUUUAAAAUGCAGAAAAAUAUUUUUAAACCAAUUAAAAAAAGGAGAAAAGAGAAAAUUCAUAAAAAAAAUAUAAAAUCAGUGGAAAAAAUAAAAAUCAAAUGAAGAAAAAUAAAAGAGAAUUUUAGAAAUUAUUUUGGGCUUUUUUGGAUGAAAAAUGAAAUUACUACGAAUUUUUAAAGAAAAAA
rnacentral:lncRNA from 1 species